rnacentral:SRP_RNA from 1 species
GCUGGGCAUGGUGGUGUGUGCCUGUAGUCCCAGCUACUUGGGAGGCUGAGGCAGGAGGAUUGCUUGAGCCCAGGAGAUUGAGGCUGCAGUGAGCCAUGAUAGUGCCACUGCACUCCAACUUGGGCAACAGAGCAAGACCCUCUCUCUA